rnacentral:rRNA from 1 species
UCCUACGGGAGGCAGCAGUGGGGAAUAUUGGACAAUGGGGGCAACCCUGAUCCAGCCAUGCCGCGUGUGUGAAGAAGGCCCUCGGGUUGUAAAGCACUUUCAGCGAGGAAGAACGCCUAGCGGUUAAUACCCGCUAGGAAAGACAUCACUCGCAGAAGAAGCACCGGCUAACUCCGUGCCAGCAGCCGCGGUAAUACGGAGGGUGCAAGCGUUAAUCGGAAUUACUGGGCGUAAAGCGCGCGUAGGUGGCUUGAUAAGCCGGUUGUGAAAGCCCCGGGCUUGACCUGGGAACGGCAUCCGGAACUGUCAAGCUAGAGUGCAGGAGAGGAAGGUAGAAUUCCCGGUGUAGCGGUGAAAUGCGUAGAGAUCGGGAGGAAUACCAGUGGCGAAGGCGGCCUUCUGGACUGACACUGACACUGAGGUGCGAAAGCGUGGGUAGCAAACAGGAUUAGAUACCCUGGUAGUCCACGCCGUAAACGAUGUCGACCAGCCGUUGGGUGCCUAGCGCACUUUGUGGCGAAGUUAACGCGAUAAGUCGACCGCCUGGGGAGUACGGCCGCAAGGUUAAAACUCAAAUGAAUUGACGG